rnacentral:rRNA from 1 species
UACGGAGGGUGCAAGCGUUAAUCGGAAUUACUGGGCGUAAAGCGCACGCAGGUGGCUGAGUCAGUCGAUUGUGAAAGCCCUGGGCUUAACCUGGGAAUUGCAGUCGAUACUACUCGGCUCGAGUAUGGGAGAGGGCAGUGGAAUUCCCGGUGUAGAGGUGAAAUUCGUAGAUAUCGGGAGGAACACCAGUGGCGAAGGCGGCGACCUGGGCCAAUACUGACGCUGAGGUGCGAAAGCGUGGGGAGCAAACAGG